GGGCCAUUAGCUCAGUGGUUAGAGCAGAGGACUCAUAAUCCUUUGGUCCUUAGUUCAAGUCUAAGAUGGCCCA
rnacentral:tRNA from 2 species